CUUCUGGCAUAAGGGUUCUCCUUAUUAGGUUGAGGCUUAGUCCAAGUAUCAACUCUUCCGGUCAAUUCCUAGUAAUAACUCUUCAGAUCAGUUCCAAGCACUAGCUUUUACAAGAACCAACUCUUCCUCUGAAAGUUCCAAGUAAUAGCUCUGUUGGUCAGUCUCGAUGACUGACUUAUAAAUGCUCCAAGUCCAAGAUCUUAUUAUAAGAACCAACUCUUUCCUGUGCCGAUUUCUCUUAAAGUUCUAAGCACAACUCUUGGGUCUAGAACGCUUCUAGGAAUUUCCUGUUCAUCAUGGAAGGAAAACGGCUGUUUCUGGCCUUAAUUGUAGUUGCUUUUAUUUCCACAACUGCUGCUAUGUCACCGUUCAGGAAUCAUAGGAGGAACCACACCUGCCCGGAUUCGCCGGAGGACCGACGCCUAACGAAAGGCCUAACGAAGGGCCGCAGCUUCGAAACCUCCGAGACGGAGGAGAGCAGUUCGGACGAGGAACAUUCGCGGGAAAGGAUUCCAGGCAUCUGGUACCAGGUGUGCCCGGGCAUGUGUCGUGAUGAAUGCCAUCCUGACGAGGUGAUGCGGGGAAGAUGCAACCCCGACUUCGUCUGCCUCUGCUGCGUUAAGAACUUACUGG